ensembl:lncRNA
AUGAUUUUUGUCAAAAUUCUUUUUCUUUACAGAAAAUAUUUCAAGGAGAUACUGUGGAUCAUUUCAAUAUUAACACGAACUGCCAGAGAUGAUGUAUUUUUAGUGAUGGGUAUCUCCCUCUCAUUGGCCAGGUUUCCAGCUUGUGUACAGCUCCCCUGGUACUGGGACAUCUCUCUUCUCAUGGAGCUGCAGGAUUUGUGUGUCAGUGAUUCAUCUGGGAGAUGGCAGCCCUGCAGCAGAGCCUGGUUGAAGAGGAGAUGGAGGACAGGAGGACCUGUUAGUCCUCCAUCAGAAUGUGAAUGCAUGGAGUUCCUAGAAACACGACCGAGGUGCGCCUCUGGGCCAGCUCUGCAGGACAUCUGUGAUGAGUGUGUUGGGAGUGAAAAGCAAACACCCGUUAGCUGGGUACGAGCGUGCAAAGCCAGUGUCUGUACUCAGCCGUCUCUGCUCAAUGUCUGGAUUUAG